rnacentral:piRNA from 1 species
GGGAUUUCUGAAAAACACUGUUCU